GACGAACGCUGGCGGCGUGCUUAACACAUGCAAGUCGAACGGUGAAGCGCCUUCCUUUUUGGUGGGUGUGGAUGAGUGGCGAACGGGUGAGUAACACGUGAGUAACCUGCCCCCUUCUUCUGGAUAACCGCAUGAAAGUGUGGCUAAUACGGGAUAUUCUGGGUCUGUCGCAUGAUGGGUCUGGGAAAGAUAUUGUUUCGGUGGGGGAUGGGCUCGCGGCCUAUCAGCUUGUUGGUGGGGUGAUGGCCUACCAAGGCGGUGACGGGUAGCCGGCCUGAGAGGGUGGACGGUCACACUGGGACUGAGACACGGCCCAGGCUCCUACGGGAGGCAGCAGUGGGGAAUAUUGCACAAUGGGCGCAAGCCUGAUGCAGCGACGCCGCGUGAGGGAUGGAGGCCUGCGGGUUGUGAACCUCUUUCGCCAGUGAAGCAGGCCUGCCUCGUUUGUGGGUGGGUUGACGGUAGCUGGAGAAGAAGCGCCGGCUAACUACGUG
rnacentral:rRNA from 1 species